rnacentral:rRNA from 1 species
GACGAACGCUGGCGGCGUGCCUAAUACAUGCAAGUAGGACGAGUUGCGAACGUGUGAGUAACGCGUAGGAACCUACCUAUUAGAGGGGGAUAACUACUCGAAAGAGUGGCUCAUACCGCAUCCUGUUGGCGCGGCCGAUAUCGGAUUAGCUAGUUGGUGGGGUAAAGGCUCACCAAGGCAACGAUCCGUAGCUGGUUUGAGAGGACGACCAGCCACACUGGGACUGAGACACGGCCCAGACUCCUACGGGAGGCAGCAGUGGGGAAUUUUGGACAAUGGGGGAAACCCUGAUCCAGCCAUCCCGCGUGUAUGAGAAGGCCUUCGGGUUGUAAAGUACUUUUGGCAGAGAAGCGGUAUCUGCAGAAUAAGCACCGGCUAACUACGUGCCAGCAGCCGCGGUAAUUC